rnacentral:rRNA from 1 species
CACGUAGGGUGCGAGCGUUGUCCGGAAUUAUUGGGCGUAAAGAGCUCGUAGGCGGUGUGUCGCGUCGGCCGUGAAAACCUGCAGCUUAACUGUGGGCGUGCGGUCGAUACGGGCAUCACUGGAGUUCGGCAGGGGAGACUGGAAUUCCUGGUGUAGCGGUGACAUGCGCAGAUAUCAGGAGGAACACCGGUGGCGAAGGCGGGUCUCUGGGCCUGUUCUGACGCUGAGGCGCGAAAGCUAGGGGAGCGAACAGG